rnacentral:tRNA from 8 species
GCGCCCGUAGCUCAACGGGAUAGAGUAACUGGCUACGAACCAGGAGGUUGGGGGUUCGAGUCCCUCCGGGCGCGCCA